UGGGGAAUAUUGCACAAUGGGCGAAAGCCUGAUGCAGCAACGCCGCGUGAGUGAUGAAGGCCUUCGGGUUGUAAAGCUCUGUCUUUUGGGACGAUAAUGACGGUACCAAAGGAGGAAGCCACGGCUAACUACGUGCCAGCAGCCGCGGUAAUACGUAGGUGGCAAGCGUUGUCCGGAUUUACUGGGCGUAAAGGAUGCGUAGGCGGAUUUUUAAGUGAGAUGUGAAAUACCCGGGCUUAACUUGGGUGCUGCAUUUCAAACUGGGAAUCUAGAGUGCGGGAGAGGAGAAUGGAAUUCCUAGUGUAGCGGUGAAAUACGUAGAGAUUAGGAAGAACACCAGUGGCGAAGGCGAUUCUCUGGACCGUAACUGACGCUGAGGCAUGAAAGCGUGGGUAGCAAACAGGAUUAGAUACCCUGGUAGUCCACGCCGUAAACGAUGAGUACUAGGUGUAGGAGGUAUCGACCCCUUCUGUGCCGCAGUUAACACAAUAAGUACUCCGCCUGGGAAGUACGAUCGCAAGAUUAAAACUUAAAUGAAUUGAC
rnacentral:rRNA from 1 species